CGGUAGUUCAGUCGGUUAGAAUACCGGCCUGUCACGCCGGGGGUCGCGGGUUCGAGUCCCGUCCG
rnacentral:tRNA from 2 species